AAAACCUUAAGUUAAAAAAACUAUUAACCUUCAAAGUUAAAUUUAUAUAAAUAAAUAUAUAGGUUUUA
rnacentral:tRNA from 1 species